rnacentral:rRNA from 1 species
CCUACGGGUGGCAGCAGUGGGGAAUAUUGCACAAUGGGCGCAAGCCUGAUGCAGCGACGCCGCGUGAGCGAAGAAGUCUUUCGGUAUGUAAAGCUCUAUCAGCAGGGGAGAAAAUGCCGGUACCUGACUAAGAAGCCCCGGCUAAAUACGUGCAAGCAGCCGCGGCAAUACGUAGGGAGCAGGCGUUAUCCGGAGUUACUGGGUGUAAAGGGGGCGUAGACGGUUGUGAAAGUCUGAAGUGAAAGGCGGGGGCUCAACCCCUGGACUGCAUUGGAAACUGUACAGCUUGAGUGCAGGAGAGGUAAGCGGAAUUCAUAGUGUAGCGGUGAAAUGCGUAGAUAUUAGGAGGAACACCAGUGGCGAAGGCGGCUUACUGGACGGUAACUGACGUUGAGGCUCGAAAGCGUGGGGAGCAAACAGGAUUAGAUACCCCAGUAGUC